CUAAGGCAACCGCCCCCAGCUCGGCUGUAUCGUGCCCAUGCCCACACAGCCUCCGUGACGCAGGAACCGCUCGCAGCGCUGGGCUCAGGAGCUGCUCCUUGGGAAAUCCCCCUGUGACAGUCCUUGGGCAAUAGCACGGAGCCUGCAGCUUUCACUUCUCGAGGUGUAGAAGAGGCAUUUACACAGCUUGAAGAGCUUUCACUUGUAUUUUAUAACCAGACAGCAAAGGCAGGCAGAUGGCUGCUAUCAGCACGUGAGUGGCUCUGUACUGCACCAGGCCUGAGAGCAGGCACUGAUGGACUGUGGGUGAGAACCAGCUUGCUACAAGCACCUGCAUUACAAAACAGAGGAGGUGAGCUCUGGUGAAGAUUUUCCAUUUGCCUCAUCUUAUCCCCAACGCUGACAUCAUCAAAUCCCUAGCAAGCAGUACUGUUGCUGCAUCUUCACAGUGAAAAGAAGAACACUCUCUGCAUUAAUACACCACUGCAGCCUUUUCAGAAAUAUUGGCCUGCCCUUUUCCUGUCCAUCUGCAGAGCCCCUCAGCUGACUGGUGGAAAGGACGAGCCCUGCUCCAUUUCUUUGAUUCUUUCAGGGAGACAGGAUCCUUCUGUAGUUUCCACCAUGGUGUCACAGUUGGAUGUUGGACCCUGCUAGCUGAGAAGAUCUUCUAUCCAAGAAAACAUUACCCAUGCUACAGGACAGGAAAA